rnacentral:SRP_RNA from 1 species
AUCGAGCUUGGUUGCGCGGGCUUGUAACCCAAGUGGGGGUAUUAAGGUGGUGUGGAUGUUUGGGUGUGGACUCUGGGCUUGGGUCUAUUGUGUGCCCUUGCUGGCCUUGCCUGCUCCAAGUUGGUAGUGGCCUGUUCGGCCCAAGCAAAAGCUCGGGCUUCACUGGACCUGAAGUGGUAGGAAUGGCGUGAGGCUGGGUUCACAGAGCAGCGAUCACUGCCCGCUUCCAACGGUGGAAGGAUAACAGGCCGCUACAUCACGGGCCCGACUUGGACCCCGAGGAGCUAGCGGCGAGGAUCG